GACGAACGCUGGCGGCGUGCAUAACACAUGCAAGUCAAGGGGGUCAGUAGCAAUACUGGCAACCGGCGAACGGGUGCGUAACACGUAAGCGACCUACCUCGAUGUGGGGCAUAGCCGGCCUAACGGCCGGGUAAUUCCGCAUAAGAUCCCGAUGAGGCAUCUCAUUGGGAUGAAACCAGUAAUGGGCGUCGAGAGGGGCUUGCGGCCUAUCAGCUAGUUGGUGAGGAACGGCUCACCAAGGCUACGACGGGUAGCUGGUCUGAGAGGAUGGCCAGCCACAUUGGGACUGAGAUACGGCCCAGACUCCUACGGGAGGCAGCAGUGGGGAAUCUUGCGCAAUGGCCUAACGGCUGACGCAGCGACGCCGCGUGAGGGAUGAAGCUUUCGGAGUGUAAACCUCUGUUGCCCGGGACGAAUAGCGGAUUAUUCCG
rnacentral:rRNA from 1 species